AGUGAACGCUGGCGGUAGGCCUAACACAUGCAAGUCGAACGGCAGCACAGUAAGAGCUUGCUCUUACGGGUGGCGAGUGGCGGACGGGUGAGGAAUACAUCGGAAUCUACUUUUUCGUGGGGGAUAACGUAGGGAAACUUACGCUAAUACCUCAUACGACCUACGGGUGAAAGCAGGGGAUCUUCGGACCUUGCGCGAUUGAAUUAGCCGAUGUCGGAUUAGCUAGUUGGCUGGGUAAAGGCCCACCAAGGCGACGAUCCGUAGCUGGUCUGAGAGGAUGAUCAGCCACACUGGAACUGAGACACGGUCCAGACUCCUACGGGAGGCAGCAGUGGGGAAUAUUGGACAAUGGGCGAAAGCCUGAUCCAGCCAUACCGCGUGGGUGAAGAAGGCCUUCGGGUUGUAAAGCCCUUUUGUUGGGAAAGAAAAGCAGCAGGUUAAUACCCCGCUGUUCUGACGGUACCCAAAGAAUAAGCACCGGCUAACUUCGUG
rnacentral:rRNA from 1 species